GAUGAACGCUGGCGGCGUGCCUAAUACAUGCAAGUCGAGCGAACAGAUAAGGAUCUUGCUCCUUUGAAGUUAGCGGCGGACGGGUGAGUAACACGUGGGUAACCUACCUAUAAGACUGGGAUAACUUCGGGAAACCGGAGCUAAUACCGGAUAACAUUUAGAACCGCAUGGUUCUAAAGAGAAAGAUGGUUUUGCUAUCACUUAUAGAUGGACCCGCGCCGUAUUAGCUAGUUGGUAAGGUAACGGCUUACCAAGGCGACGAUACGUAGCCGACCUGAGAGGGUGAUCGGCCACACUGGAACUGAGACACGGUCCAGACUCCUACGGGAGGCAGCAGUAGGGAAUCUUCCGCAAUGGGCGAAAGCCUGACGGAGCAACGCCGCGUGAGUGAUGAAGGGUUUCGGCUCGUAAAACUCUGUUAUUAGGGAAGAACAAAUGUGUAAGUAACUGUGCACAGCUUGACGGUACCUAAUAAGAAAGCCACGGCUAACUACGUG
rnacentral:rRNA from 1 species